AUUUGGCGGACGGGUGAGUAAUGCCUAGGAAUCUGCCUGGUAGUGGGGGACAACGUUUCGAAAGGAACGCUAAUACCGCAUACGUCCUACGGGAGAAAGCAGGGGACCUUCGGGCCUUGCGCUAUCAGAUGAGCCUAGGUCGGAUUAGCUAGUAGGUGAGGUAAUGGCUCACCUAGGCGACGAUCCGUAACUGGUCUGAGAGGAUGAUCAGUCACACUGGAACUGAGACACGGUCCAGACUCCUACGGGAGGCAGCAGUGGGGAAUAUUGGACAAUGGGCGAAAGCCUGAUCCAGCCAUGCCGCGUGUGUGAAGAAGGUCUUCGGAUUGUAAAGCACUUUAAGUUGGGAGGAAGGGCAGUAAGUUAAUACCUUGCUGUUUUGACGUUACCAACAGAAUAAGCACCGGCUAACUUCGUGCCAGCAGCCGCGGUAAUAAUC
rnacentral:rRNA from 1 species